GUGCACGCUUCGGCAGCACAUAUACUAAAAUUGGAACGAUACAGAGAAGAUUAGCAUGGCCCCUGCGCAAGGGAAAAAAAAUACCAGAUCUGGGCAGAAACUUC
rnacentral:snRNA from 1 species